rnacentral:rRNA from 1 species
AGAGUUUGAUCAUGGCUCAGGACGAACGCUGGCGGCGUGCUUAACACAUGCAAGUCGAACGGAAAGGCCCUUCGGGGUACUCGAGUGGCGAACGGGUGAGUAACACGUGGGUGAUCUGCCCUGCACUUUGGGAUAAGCCUGGGAAACUGGGUCUAAUACCGAAUAUGACCAUGCGCCUCCUGGUGUGUGGUGGAAAGCUUUUGCGGUGUGGGAUGGGCCCGCGGCCUAUCAGCUUGUUGGUGGGGUAAUGGCCUACCAAGGCGACGACGGGUAGCCGGCCUGAGAGGGUGACCGGCCACACUGGGACUGAGAUACGGCCCAGACUCCUACGGGAGGCAGCAGUGGGGAAUAUUGCACAAUGGGCGCAAGCCUGAUGCAGCGACGCCGCGUGAGGGAUGACGGCCUUCGGGUUGUAAACCUCUUUCAGCACAGACGAAGCGCAAGUGACGGUAUGUGCAGAAGAAGGACCGGCCAACUACGUGCCAGCAGCCGCGGUAAUACGUAGGGUCCGAGCGUUGUCCGGAAUUACUGGGCGUAAAGAGCUCGUAGGUGGUUUGUCGCGUUGUUCGUGAAAACUCACAGCUUAACUGUGGGCGUGCGGGCGAUACGGGCAGACUUGAGUACUGCAGGGGAGACUGGAAUUCCUGGUGUAGCGGUGGAAUGCGCAGAUAUCAGGAGGAACACCGGUGGCGAAGGCGGGUCUCUGGGCAGUAACUGACGCUGAGGAGCGAAAGCGUGGGGAGCGAACAGGAUUAGAUACCCUGGUAGUCCAA